UGGUGGAAGACAAGAGUCUGAGUGGG
rnacentral:piRNA from 1 species